CAUCACCACACAAAUCAAAGGCUUCUCUCUGGCUUCAAAAGGAACAGGAACAGGAUACUUUGUGUUGGGAGUUCUGCACUGAGCGGGAACUAUGCUGUGCCUGUUUGAGCUGACCCACUAGGAAGCCCACAGAUAAGGCACAGAAGCCCAUCUCACUCAAGCCCACAGUCAUGUGGAAGGAAAUGACUGCACGGAUGAUGGUGGCCACCAACAGGCCCUGGUAAGAAAAUUGCGAGGACGGUGUCGUGAGGCUGUCUUGACAAUCUCUGCAAUCCUCCCAGGGCCUAUUGUUCUGUCACACAAGAAAUGACGAAAAUAAUAAUGCUAACAAUGAGGAUGAGUGUGUCAUUACAGCAUCCUGAGCGCUCAAGGUGUCUCCAACACUGCUAAAGAGCUCCAUGCAUUCAUACACUGGUUCAUCCAGCCUUUGCAACAGCUGCAUCUGGUAGCUUCCAUCAAACUAGGUUACACACAGGAAUGAAGGUGGACUUUUGUUUUCUAGUCAAGACUGAAACAUUUACUUGUUUGGCCACCAGUGCUCCAGCAUCAUAUAGAAAUUGUGACAACAGAACCAGAAGGAAAUACCUUGUUCCUAAAUGUUACUAGAUGAAAUUCGAAGGAGAAGGAAGAAGAAGACUUGGGUAUCUAAUAAAUGCCAAACACCUUCACAUACAGAAUCUCAUUUUCUCUCUUACCAUUCCAUAGGGGAAGAAAGGGAAACUAGAGGGGUCCCAUAAUCAGGACCCCGAUAGCCCUGACCCUAAAGUCUAUCUUCUUCCUAUCCUGCAGAAGCACCAGAUGGUGGGUUAGUGUAAGAAGAAAGCCUGAAGACUCUCGAAUUAAAGGAGGUUUCAAAGGAAUGGAAGGAAAAACACAAGUUGAAUUUUGAAAGGUUUAAUCAAAACAGAUGGCAGAAUAUCUCAGCCUGAGGGAAGGGGAAAAGUGUCUCAGAAUCCAUCUGAUUUGGGGCUCCCUUGUCCUGGCUUCCUGGGUCUCUAGGUGCUCCUCUCUGCGGGCUGACUGAUGGGCAGGCUGGGUGACAAGGAAGGAAAAAUAUGUGGUGUGUAUCUGUGUAUGUGUGUGUGUGUGUGGUGUGUGUGCGCACGUGUAUUAUCAGAUAACAUAUAUAUGAGAGACUUAAGAAUUAAUG
ensembl:lncRNA